AGGGCAUCUGAGGAAGGGCAAUUUGGUGCCUCAGUCAUUUGGUGCAGUGUCUGUGACGAGAAUCUGUGCUCGGUCUCCUAAGAAAUCAAUGCAUACCACAGGGAACUUUUUAGGAGGUUUUGUCACAGUACUCACCACAGAGACAAUACUGGAAGAGCUGUCUUCUACAUUAACCUAGAAGACGAUUAAUGUAUAUAGAACGCUGCUACGCAAUAAAAACCAAUAAAUAACAGUUUAUUCAGA